rnacentral:rRNA from 1 species
UACGUAGGGGUCUAGCGUUGUCCGGAAUUAUUGGGCGUAAAGAGCUCGUAGGCGGCCUGUUGCGUCCGCUGUGAAAUCCCCGGGGCUCAACCCUGGGCGUGCAGUGGAUGACGGGGCAGGCUGGGAGGCAGGCAGGGGGAGAACGGAAUUCCCGGUGUAGCGGUGAAAUGCGCAGAUAUCGGGAGGAACACCGGUGGCGAAGGCGGUUCUCUGGGCCUGUGCUGACGCUGAGGUGCGAAAGCGUGGGGAGCGAACAGG